UCUUGGUCAUUUAGAGGAAGUAAAAGUCGUAACAAGGUUUCCGUAGGUGAACCUGCGGAAGGAUCAUUAAAGAAAUUUAAUAAUUUUGAAAAUGGAUUUUUUUGUUUUGGCAAGAGCAUGAGAGCUUUUACUGGGCAAGAAGACAAGAGAUGGAGAGUCCAGCCGGGCCUGCGCUUAAGUGCGCGGUCUUGCUAGGCUUGUAAGUUUCUUUCUUGCUAUUCCAAACGGUGAGAGAUUUCUGUGCUUUUGUUAUAGGACAAUUAAAACCGUUUCAAUACAACACACUGUGGAGUUUUCAUAUCUUUGCAACUUUUUCUUUGGGCAUUCGAGCAAUCGGGGCCCAGAGGUAACAAACACAAACAAUUUUAUCUAUUCAUUAAAUUUUUGUCAAAAACAAGAAUUUUCGUAACUGGAAAUUUUAAAAUAUUAAAAACUUUCAACAACGGAUCUCUUGGUUCUCGCAUCGAUGAAGAACGCAGCGAAAUGCGAUACGUAAUGUGAAUUGCAGAAUUCCGUGAAUCAUCGAAUCUUUGAACGCACAUUGCGCCCCUUGGUAUUCCAGGGGGCAUGCCUGUUUGAGCGUCAUUUCCUUCUCAAACAUUCUGUUUGGUAGUGAGUGAUACUCUUUGGAGUUAACUUGAAAUUGCUGGCCUUUUCAUUGGAUGUUUUUUUUCCAAAGAGAGGUUUCUCUGCGUGCUUGAGGUAUAAUGCAAGUACGGUCGUUUUAGGUUUUACCAACUGCGGCUAAUCCUUUUUUAUACUGAGCGUAUUGGAACGUUAUCGAUAAGAAGAGAGCGUCUAGGCGAACAAUGUUCUUAAAGUUUGACCUCAAAUCAGGUAGGAGUACCCGCUGAACUUAAGCAUAUCAAUAAGCGGAG
rnacentral:rRNA from 1 species